AAACCAACAGGGAUUGCCUCAGUAGCGGCGAGUGAAGCGGCAAGAGCUCAGAUUUGAAAUCGUGUUUUGGCACGAGUUGUAGAGUGUAGGCUGGAGUCUCUGUGGAGCGCGGUGUCCAAGUCCCUUGGAACAGGGUGCCUGAGAGGGUGAGAGCCCCGUGGGGUGCUGCGCGAAGCUUUGAGGCCCUGCUGACGAGUCGAGUUGUUUGGGAAUGCAGCUCUAAGCGGGUGGUAAAUUCCAUCUAAGGCUAAAUAUUGGCGAGAGACCGAUAGCGAACAAGUACUGUGAAGGAAAGAUGAAAAGCACUUUGAAAAGAGAGUGAAACAGCACGUGAAAUUGUUGAAAGGGAAGGGUAUUGGGCCCGACAUGGGGAGUGCGCACCGCUGUCUCUUGUAGGCGGCGCUCUGGGCGCUCUCUGGGCCAGCAUCGGUUCUUGCUGCGAGAGAAGUGGUGCCGGAAAGUGGCUCUUCGGAGUGUUAUAGCCGGUGCCGGAUGUCGCGUGCGGGGACCGAGGGCUGCGACAUCUGUCUCGGAUGCUGGCACAACGGCGCAAUACCGC
rnacentral:rRNA from 1 species